UACGGGGGGAGCAAGCGUUGUUCGGAUUUACUGGGCGUAAAGGGCGCGUAGGCGGCCACCGCAAGUCGACUGUGAAAUCUCCGGGCUUAACCCGGAAAGGUCAGCCGAUACUGCGGGGCUAGAGUGCAGAAGGGGCAACUGGUAUUCUCGGUGUAGCGGUGAAAUGCGUAGAUAUCGAGAGGAACACCUGCGGCGAAGGCGGGUUGCUGGGCUGACACUGACGCUGAAGCGCGAAAGCUAGGGGAGCGAACGGG
rnacentral:rRNA from 1 species